rnacentral:misc_RNA from 1 species
GUGAUUAAAUCGAGCGUGUCUUCAUUGACCGCUCACCCUUCACAUCCACAUACACCUGUGCACCGUUCUGAAGCGGAGAGUUAUUAGGCAUUGGCCGAGCGCCUCCCUUCGGUUAUUAUAUCAACCUCAAACUGCGUUUACCAGAAUGUCUACCGUCUUGUUGUAACGACAAGUACAAUCCAAUA